rnacentral:rRNA from 1 species
ACGUGGGCAAUCUGCCCUUCACUCUGGGACAAGCCCUGGAAACGGGGUCUAAUACCGGAUAUCACUCCUGCAGGCAUCUGCAGGGGUCGAAAGCUCCGGCGGUGAAGGAUGAGCCCGCGGCCUAUCAGCUUGUUGGUGAGGUAAUGGCUCACCAAGGCGACGACGGGUAGCCGGCCUGAGAGGGCGACCGGCCACACUGGGACUGAGACACGGCCCAGACUCCUACGGGAGGCAGCAGUGGGGAAUAUUGCACAAUGGGCGAAAGCCUGAUGCAGCGACGCCGCGUGAGGGAUGACGGCCUUCGGGUUGUAAACCUCUUUCAGCAGGGAAGAAGCGAAAGUGACGGUACCUGCAGAAGAAGCGCCGGCUAACUACGUGCCAGCAGCCGCGGUAAUACGUAGGGCGCAAGCGUUGUCCGGAAUUAUUGGGCGUAAAGAGCUCGUAGGCGGCUUGUCACGUCGGGUGUGAAAGCCCGGGGCUUAACCCCGGGUCUGCAUUCGAUACGGGCUAGCUAGAGUGUGGUAGGGGAGAUCGGAAUUCCUGGUGUAGCGGUGAAAUGCGCAGAUAUCAGGAGGAACACCGGUGGCGAAGGCGGAUCUCUGGGCCAUUACUGACGCUGAGGAGCGAAAGCGUGGGGAGCGAACAGGAUUAGAUACCCUGGUAGUCCACGCCGUAAACGGUGGGAACUAGGUGUUGGGCGACAUUCCACGUCGUCGGUGCCGCAGCUAACGCAUUAAGUUCCCCGCCUGGGGGAGUACGGCCGCAAGGGCUAAAACUCAAAGGAAUUGACGGGGGGCCCGCACAAGCAGCGGAGCAUGUUGGCUUUAAUUCGACGCAACGCGAAGAACCCUUACCAAGGCUUGACAAUACACCGGAAACGUCUGGGAAGAACAGGCGCCCCCCUUGUGGUCGGUGUACAGGGUGUGCAUGGCUUGUCAUUCAGCUCGUGGUCGUGAAGAUGUUGGGUUAAGUCCCGCAACCGAACGCAACUCUUGGUCCUGUGUUGGCCAGCAUGGCCUUUCGGGGUGAAUGGGGACUC